CAAGAAAACCCUGCCUACCUCUACGUUAACCUAACACAAGAGAAUCCCAAGAAAGAUUAAAAAAAGCGGAAGGAACUCGGCAAAAUUCAGCCCCGCCUGUUUACCAAAAACAUCGCCUCUUGCCUCAUAAGAGGUCCAGCCUGCCCAGUGACCCAAUUCAACGGCCGCGGUAUCCUGACCGUGCGAAGGUAGCGUAAUCACUUGUUCUUUAAAUAAGGACUAGUAUGAACGGCAUCACGAAGGCUGUACUGUCUCCCGCCUUUAAUCAGUGAAAUUAAUCUCCCCGUGAAGAAGCGGGGAUGAAACCAUAAGACGAGAAGACCCCAUGGAGCUUUAAACAAAGGACAUUUACUAACCCAUUACAAGUUAAGCAUUAUGACCCCUAGUUUUUGGUUGGGGCGACCACGGAGAACAACCCACCCUCCAUGCUGAAAGAUAUAAUCUUAGCCUAAAACAACCCAUUUAAGCAUUAGGAUCCUAACACCCAUUGACCCAAUUCACUUGAUCAACGAACCAAGUUACCCUGGGGAUAACAGCGCAAUCCACUUCAAGAGCCCCUAUCGACAAGUGGGUUUACGACCUCGAUGUUGGAUCAGGGUAC
rnacentral:rRNA from 1 species